GUGGGGGAUAUUGCACAAUGGAGGAAACUCUGAUGCAGCGACGCCGCGUGAGUGAAGAAGUAUUUCGGUAUGUAAAGCUCUAUCAGCAGGGAAGAUAAUGACAGUACCUGACUAAGAAGCCCCGGCUAACUACGUGCCAGCAGCCGCGGUAAUACGUAGGGGGCAAGCGUUAGCCGGAUUUACUGGGUGUAAAGGGAGCGUAGACGGAAUGGCAAGUCUGAAGUGAAAUCCUGCGGCUUAACUGCAGAAUUGCUUUGGAAACUGUCAAUCUGGAGUGUUGGAGAGGUAAGCGGAAUUCCUGGUGUAGCGGUGAAAUGCGUAGAUAUCAGGAAGAACACCGGAGGCGAAGGCGGCUUACUGGACAAUAACUGACGUUGAGGCUCGAAAGCGUGGGAAGCAAACAGGAUUAGAAACCCCGGUGGUCC
rnacentral:rRNA from 1 species